rnacentral:rRNA from 1 species
UACGGAGGGUGCAAGCGUUGUCCGGAUUUAUUGGGUUUAAAGGGUGCGUAGGCGGCCCGUUAAGUCAGCGGUGAAAGCCCGGGGCUCAACCCCGGAACCGCCGUUGAUACUGGUGGGCUUGAGUAUGGACGAGGUUGGCGGAAUUGAGGGUGUAGCGGUGAAAUGCUUAGAUACCCUCAAGAACACCGAUUGCGUAGGCAGCUAACUAGGCCAUAACUGACGCUGAGGCACGAAAGCGUGGGGAGCGAACAGG